rnacentral:pre_miRNA from 1 species
AGCCUUCUAUAUCCGUGCUAAAAUUUCGUCACCGAUCAACCCGUUGGGGCUGAUGCAACUGCACAAAUAAGUAAAGUG